AGCGAACGCUGGCGGCAGGCCUAACACAUGCAAGUCGAACGAACUCUUCGGAGUUAGUGGCGGACGGGUGAGUAACACGUGGGAACGUGCCUUUUGGUUCGGCAUAACUCAGGGAAACUUGUGCUAAUACCGAAUGUGCCCUUCGGGGGAAAGAUUUAUCGCCAUUAGAGCGGCCCGCGUCUGAUUAGCUAGUUGGUGAGGUAACGGCUCACCAAGGCGACGAUCAGUAGCUGGUCUGAGAGGAUGACCAGCCACACUGGGACUGAGACACGGCCCAGACUCCUACGGGAGGCAGCAGUGGGGAAUCUUGCGCAAUGGGCGAAAGCCUGACGCAGCCAUGCCGCGUGAAUGAUGAAGGUCUUAGGAUUGUAAAAUUCUUUCAACGGUGACGAUAAUGACGGUACCCGGAGAAGAAGCCCCGGCUAACUUCGUG
rnacentral:rRNA from 1 species